rnacentral:rRNA from 1 species
ACAGCAGUAGCCGCGGUAAUACAGAGGGUGCGAGCGUUAAUCGGAUUUACUGGGCGUAAAGCGUGCGUAGGCGGCUAAUUGAGUCGGAUGUGAAAUCCCCGAGCUUAACUUGGGAAUUGCAUUCGAUACUGGUUAGAUAGAGUGUGGGAGAGGAUGGUAGAAUUCCAGGUGUAGCGGUGAAAUGCGUAGAGAUCUGGAGGAAUACCGAUGGCGAAGGCAGCCAUCUGGCCUAACACUGACGCUGAGGUACGAAAGCAUGGGGAGCAAACAGGAUUAGAUACCCCUGUAGUCCCUGUCUCUUAUAC